ACUUGACCAUACAGAAGAAAACCAAUUCGUGUUUUCUCUGUCAAACUUUCUUCGUCGAAACACCUCCUCCACCAUGAAAGAGAUUUCUGAAACACCUCCUCCAUGACAGAAGAACAAAGGCUACGUAAAUCUGAGGCUUAACAUAAGAUUUGAAUCCAGAAAUAUUUAUGGAGGGCAAGCUCUGAGAUCUCCGUCAAAAUCCUAUACUAAUCGACCUAGCUCGACUUCUAGAAAGAACUGCAAGUUACACUGAAGAGAAACAAUGUCAUAGUCAACUUGCUGCAUUGAAUUUUGGGUAAAGCAAAUCAAAUCAAUGACGGAAACCGAAAGCGGAGCUCAUCUAGAAAGACGUCAGAAUGCUUAUAACUGCAGACUGAUGCUUAACGUCUAAUUUUUAAAUGGUCUUUAUGUAGUCAAAUGACCCAAAUUCUUAUUCUGGGAUUAAUUACAGCUUCUCACCUGUAUUAGAAGUAUAAUACUUAGGAAGAUCCCGCUUAGACAUUUUUAUCAUCUGGAGUUCUGUACUAAAACUUUGUAAAGUACGUUCAUAUUCAAUCUUGACCUUCGUAGUCACAUACCUGGGUAGAAUUAUAAA